CUUAGAUGUUCUGGGCCGCACGCGCGCUACACUGACAGAGCCAACGAGUUCAUUUCCUUAGCCGAAAGGUUUGGGUAAUCUUGUUAAACUCUGUCGUGCUGGGGAUAGAGCAUUGCAAUUAUUGCUCUUCAACGAGGAAUGCCUAGUAAGCGCAAGUCAUCAGCUUGCGUUGAUUACGUCCCUGCCCUUUGUACACACCGCCCGUCG
rnacentral:rRNA from 1 species